rnacentral:rRNA from 1 species
GCAGUCGAGCGGUAAGGCCAUUCGGGGUACACGAGCGGCGAACGGGUGAGUAACACGUGGGUAACCUGCCCUGUACUCUGGGAUAAGCCUGGGAAACUAGGUCUAAUACCGGAUAUGACUCCACUAGGCAUCUUGUGGGGUGGAAAGUUCCGGCGGUACAGGAUGGACCCGCGGCCUAUCAGCUUGUUGGUGGGGUAAUGGCCUACCAAGGCGACGACGGGUAGCCGGCCUGAGAGGGUGACCGGCCACACUGGGACUGAGACACGGCCCAGACUCCUACGGGAGGCAGCAGUGGGGAAUAUUGCACAAUGGGCGAAAGCCUGAUGCAGCGACGCCGCGUGAGGGAUGACGGCCUUCGGGUUGUAAACCUCUUUCAGCAGGGACGAAGCGCAAGUGACGGUACCUGCAGAAGAAGCACCGGCUAACUACGUGCCAGCAGCCGCGGUAAUACGUAGGGUGCGAGCGUUGUCCGGAAUUAUUGGGCGUAAAGAGCUCGUAGGCGGUUUGUUGCGUCGGCUGUGAAAACUUCACGCUUAACGUGGAGCCUGCAGUCGAUACGGGCAGACUUGAGUUCGGCAGGGGAGACUGGAAUUCCUGGUGUAGCGGUGAAAUGCGCAGAUAUCAGGAGGAACACCGGUGGCGAAGGCGGGUCUCUGGGCCGAUACUGACGCUGAGGAGCGAAAGCGUGGGGAGCGAACAGGAUUAGAU